GUUUGAAGCAGUCUGCUCCCUUAGUGUAAGAGGAUGUAGCUGAUUAUCUUUCUAUAAACAAGGAAAAACCUUCAGGUGGUCUGGCUUGGAUGGAAAACCCGGCUCUGGGAGAGAGAAAAUGCUUUGGGGCUAAAAGGAAAAGGCAUGGGACAAAGCCAAGAGAAGGAAAUUUAGAGCAUGGAAUGAACCGGAAAAAACCCAACCAAACAAGGUGCAGUGGGAAAGUGCUGCUGGCAUUACUUAUUCUGGGAACACUGGCCCCUUCUCCGGGUGAAUGACUGAAGCCACUCACCUCACUGAAACAAGCUGAGAUUGUGUGCUUCUCAGGGAAAUGUCAGACUAAAGAUGUGACAAGGAAGACUGCAACCCUAUUUGCUUCUGAUAACCUUCCUAUGACUAAGCCUAUUCAGUGGAACGAUGAGGAUAAAGGCCUUUCUGAUGAUCCCCUUCCAUUUAAUAUCUUCUCUGGUUGAGAUUCCUGGGGAGGACACUCAUGACAAUUGUGGUUUUUGGAGGAUCUAUCUUUAGGCAGCUAAAAGGAAGUUCAGAGAAAGCCCCUUCCUAUACUUCGCAGGAGAAAAAAGAGCAAAGGACAAUCUAACUGGCUGAAUGAGAGGAGCGGGAAGAAGAAAGGGCCAAAAGAUGACAGAAAAU
rnacentral:lncRNA from 10 species